CCUACCGAGCCUCCCGCAGGCGGCCCGCGUCCUGCUCCAGCGCAUCCAGCAGCAGGAAGGUGUCCUCGGCCGGCUCGUACACGUCGCGGAAGGGCCCCCGCGGGCCCAGAUUGUGUUUCCACCGUGAGAACUACCGCAGGGAGUCGGCGUGAGCACCGAAUGAAAGAGGUGCUGAGGGAAGUUCUCGAAGCACACAGGGGAAACCCUUACAUUGAUACUCACUCAACUUAAACGAAGCUCUAUUUUCCAGUUAUAAAAUACUAUGUUUCUGUGAUUUUUAGUCAACAACACCUCACCGCAUGCUUAUGUACCAACCCUGUGAACUUCAGAGUCGUAGAAUCACAGAAUGGCCUGGGUUGGAAGGCACCUUAAAGAUCGUCUAGAUCAAACCCCCCUGCCAUGGGCAGGGACACCUUCCACUAGACCGGGUUGCUCAGAGCCCCAUCCAACCUGGCCUUGAACACUUCCAGGGAUGGGGCAGCCACAGCUUCUCUGGGCAAGCUGUUCCAUUGUCUCACCACACUCACACUAAAAGAAUUUCAUCCUAAUAUCCAAUCUAAACCUACUCACUUUCAGUUUGAAGUCUUAACCCCUUUUCACUACAUACCUCUGUAAGUAGUCUCUGUCCAUCUUUCUUCUAGGCUUUUUGGGUACUGGAAGACCUCAAUUAGGUCACCCUGAAACCUUCUCUUUUCUAGGAUGAACAAUCCCGAUUCUCUCAGCCUUUCUUCAUAGGAGAGGUGCUCACUCCAGUCAUCCUGGUGUCCUCUUCCAGACUUGCUCCCACAUGUCGAUGUCCUUCCUGUGCUGGGGACCCCAAAGAUGGAUGCAGUACUCUAACAAAAAUGAGGCUCUGCAAAACUAAGAAUUGAGGGGAAAUUUCAGGGCACAGAUCAGACUAAUAAUUUUCUCUACACAACAAACCCCAAACAAAUUGUGAUCAAAAGCAGAAGAGAGAGGUGGACAAAUUCUAAUUCCCAUUAAAUGUCUGUGUUCAAUUAUUAAUGCAGUGAACACUCAAAUUCUGACAGUAAGAUGAAUGUCUAGGUCAAUGAAGGAAACAGGUGAUGUUAACAAACAAGUUAGAAUCUUAAAAUGUUAUUUUGAUAGCAAUUUCAAGUAACAUGAGUUUUGGCAGAAGAAGGAAAAAAUGCACCUAAACAACUAACCCAGUGGAUUAAUCUUUGUUGACUUAUGUAUAUAAAUGUACUUAAAAUACAAGUAUGUAUGUGGCCUGGUUCCCGACUGGACAGGGUUAAUAUUUGCAGUAGCCAGGAGGGAACAUGGCUGGGACCUGCAGGUUAUUCUAUACCACUUCACCUCAUUUUCUGGGAACAGGGAAAUGCCUGCUUCUGGGUCAGGGUAGUGUGGCACGGUCAGGUAUGGUUGAAGGUUUCCACAAUAACAUUUCUUGUACAUUCUGUUAUUAGUAUUGUUGCUGUUACUGUUUGUUUUCUUGUCUCAUUGCUGUUUCCAAUAAAUUGUUCAUAUCUCAA